UACGUAGGGUGCGAGCGUUAAUCGGAAUUACUGGGCGUAAAGCGUGCGCAGGCGGUUCGUUGUGUCGGCGGUGAAAGCCCCGGGCUUAACCCUGGGAAUGGCCGUUGAAACUGGCGAACUGGAGUGUGGCAGAGGGGGGUGGAAUUCCGGCGUGGUAGCAGUGAAAUGCGUAGAUAAUGCGGAGGAACACCGAUGGCGGAAGGGCAACUCCCCU
rnacentral:rRNA from 1 species